rnacentral:rRNA from 1 species
UACAGGGGGGCAAGCGUUGUUCGGAAUUACUGGGCGUAAAGGGCUCGUAGGCGGCCAACUAAGUCACACGUGAAAUCCCCAGGCUUAACCUGGGAACUGCGUGUGAUACUGGAUGGCUUGAAUUCGGGAGAGGGAUGCAGAAUUCCAGGUGUAGCGGUGAAAUGCGUAGAUAUCUGGAGGAAUACCGGUGGCGAAGGCGGCAUCCUGGACCGACAUUGACGCUGAUGAGCGAAAGCUAGGGGAGCAAACGGGG